ensembl:lncRNA
CACACCACACAGACUGUCACGCAUCACUCUGGACUACAUCUCCCAUGCUCCACUGCACUGAUUGCGCACUCACCUGCAUCCAAUAACACACUAUAUAACACUCUGAUCCUGCUGUAGUCACUAAGUAUUGUAUGCAUUUAUCUUCCUCCAAGCGAUAGCUACUCUACGGAGCCUGUCUAGUUUUCAGUUCCUAGUCAUUAUCUUGUCUUGUUUGUUUACUCGUGUUUUGAUUCUUGUCUGUUUAUUUUGUAUACCCCUUUCAUCUUACCAUUCGGACUCCGUUUACGCCAUGCUUGGAUUAUCGCCUGUUAUUGGAUUUACCGUUUGCCUCGCCCUCUGGAUUACGGUUACCGUCUUUGACCCACGCCUGUUUCAUGGAUCACUCUUCAGUCUCACCCUUGAUAUAUCUGUUUGCCAUUGUUUGACUUUUGCCGGUAUUGACCAUGUCAUUGAAUAAAGUGCAAGUGGAUCCGCUCGCCUCACGUCUCUGUCACCCCGUUACAGAAUACUCGGCCCCACAAGGAUCCAGCGGCUUUCCUAAAGGACCUUGGCCAAGUAUGGACCCUGUCGACCGGCUACUCUAUUCACGACAGGGGAGUUCACCUAUUGAGGAGUACGUCACUCAGUUCUGUCCAGAGUCUCCUGUGUCUCAGUUUUCUCCAGGUUCCAGUCUCUGCCUUGGUGGUCUUCUGUUCCCUCGCGGAGGUCUUAUGUUCCGUCUGUUCCACCGUGGUGGUCUUCUGCUCCAUCGUGGGGGUCUUCUGUUCUACUCUGGUGGUCUUCUGCUCCAUCGUGGGCGUCUUCUGUUCUGCUCUGGUGGUCUUCUGCUCUGCCGUGGGGAUCUUCAAACUCAUCUGCGCUGCUGGUGGUGGUCCUCAGCCUCACCUGUUCUGCCAGUACCGUCAUGGUUCUCUGCUUCUCCAGUUCUAACUCAAUCCCAGGGUCAUCCAUCUCCACAUGGACCUGUCCCUCCAUCCUUCCCCCGGUUCCACCUCCGCUCCACCACCCUCCUGGUUUUUGUAGUGUUUGGAGCGUCUGGAAGAGGGGGGCUCUGUCACGAAUCUGUUCCAUGGUCUUUCAUCUGAUUAUCACAAGAGGUCGCUCUCUCACCAUAUUGACACUCAGACCACACAGACUGUCACACAUCACUCUGGACUACAUCUCCCAUGCUCCACUGCACUGAUUGCGCACUCACCUGCAUCCAAUAACACACUAUAUAACACUCACUCUGAUCCUGCUGUAGUCGCCAAGUAUUGUAUGCAUGUAUCUUUCUCCAAGCGAUAGCUACUCUACGGAGCCUGUCUAGUUUUCAGUUCCUAGUCAUUAUCUUGUCUUGUUUGUUUACUCAUGUUUUGAUUCUUGUCUGUUUAUUUUGUAUACCCCUUUUGUCUUACCAUUCGGACUCUGUUUACGCCAUGCCUGGAUUAUCGCCUGUUAUUGGAUUUACCAUUUGCCUCGCCCUCUGGAUUACGGUUACCAUCGUUUGACCCACGCCUGUUUCAUUGAUCACUCUUCAGUCUCACUCUUGAUAUAUCUGUUUGCCAUUGUUUGACUUUUGCCGGUAUUGACCAUGUCAUUGAAUAAAGCCUUGCAAGUGGAUCCGCUCGCCUCA